GGUUCAGUGUUGAACUUCACUGCUUCACUCAUCUGAGACACUACGACCUUAACUGGGUGAUGUGUCAUUUCACCUUUCACGGCAUUUUCAAGUUUUGAAAAUAGAAAAGUGGACUUUGUUAACUCAAUGAAACAAAACUUCUGUGCAAAGUAAAGUUCAUAAACUCCAAAAAUGUGACCCUUAAAUUAGUCUUCAAACUCUUCUGCUCACACUUAAAGUCAAAGAACAUAAAUAAAUAUAUAAAAAGCUCUUGUUGAAGUCCAACAUAAACCCCACUGGAAGUCCUGUGUAAGUCUUUUUUAAGGAGGAGGAUUAUAAUCUCUUCAUCUUCUUUACACCCUGGAAUAGAGCUGUAACUGGAAAACGGUAAUUUACUCUCAGCAGGGGGUCCACAUGACAAGAUGGGGGGAAUUAGAUGGUCUGUUUGGGGGCAGAGAGGGUGGAUGACAGGGGGAUUAUCCUUUUAAUCUGGGUUUGCUUCUGUGGACUGUUACCCUUUAGUUUCUCCUCCACUCUGUGCUCUGCUCUGGUUUUAACACCUUUCUUACGAUUGGUCUAUAAUUACUGACUAAUUAACUCCAGAGCCGACUGCCUGAUUUGGCUUUUGAUGACUUUAUGUUAACGUCAUAUUAAAAACCAACUUUCUUCUGCUGCUGUUGGUCAUAGCUUGGUCUCGGUUGGUUUUCAAACUAUAGAAAUAGAUGACCCCUCUCUUACAUCACUGACACUUGUUGACUAAGGACUACAUAUGAAGACAAAUAUAACUUCACCUACCUGAACGCAAAGAACCAAAAAGGUUUUUUAAGACGGUCAGCAAUGUGCAGUGUUGGUGCAGAUGUGUAGCUCUUUUAAAUAAUACAUACAAGUCUAGGCCCGGUUUUAAAGGUUCUGGAUCUAAAGGAUCUGGUUAACUGUAUAUAGUGUCUUCAAUCUCGUGAGACUCAAAUGUUGACCCUGUUGACCUUUCCAAAGAGCGACGUAAUGUCAGUUUGCUUGGUUGAAUGGGAGUUUUCACUGGGACCUUUACUUACUCACUGCCUUAAAGUUUGCAACCUUUACAGUAAGGUCGUCGAGGUGGCUUUGGGUUAGAGUUUAGGGAAUGCAGAUAACCAGGAUACUAAAAGUGUGGUGGUAUUUAAUUGGCCGAUCCAAAGACGGGAUAAGGCGUCUCGAAUUUGUGCAGCUGAUGUGUCACCAGCGCUGCACUGGAAUGAUGAGUCGUCUGUCAGCCUCCUUAUGUUUCCUCCCUGAGGUCAGGGUUCACCUUCAUAGUUAAAAGAAACUCAGGGCCUCUCUCAAAGCGGACUUUACUCACCCACACCCAUGAGUCACUCAUGCCCUUGGUGCUGUACAACGAUGCAAAUACACCCACCAUCCCCAAACACCUCCUCUGAAUUAAGAGUAUAGAGUAUAUCAAGAAUAUAAUUAAAAUGAAAUAUUUUAUUGACGGUGUACAUAAGAUUUAAAGGAUAAAAUCAUGACACGUCAAAUUCUAACACAUAGUAUAAAGAACAAGGAUAAAAUAAUCAUAAUUUUAGAUUUCAGUCCUUUUAGUACAAGAAUUAAGUCUUGUUAAGAGAUUACAGUUAUGAAAGCAUGAGAAUAAAGUGUGACAACUCUAGAUUGAAGUUAAGUCUGCCAAGAAACACGUCCAUGCAUUAAUUCAGCUAUUGUACCAGAUUUAGCUCACGCACAAUUCAGCCAUACAUGAUAUAAUUAAGAGAUCAUAAAUUAAAUGUAAUAAGAUUAAAGUCAUUAUGUUAUGUUGUGAUUAGAGUCACUAAUUGAUCCUCUUUAGACUGGGACUUAGUUCUCAUAAAUUACGUUAUUUUCCACUGAAUUUACGCUUCAAAUCUUUUUUUAAGUUGCCCUCACGCUCAUUAUUUUAAUUUUCAUAACUGCUAAUAGUUGGCUUUGUCGAGCAAUGGUCUGUGUCGAGUAAUUUUCUUUAAGUACAGGUUGGAAUUUUUUUUUCUUUUUACAAAAUUAACGAUUUCAGGUGCACAGAAAUUCAUGUUAUGUUGCUGUGGCAUCAAAACAGACAUCAGUCUCAAACUGUUUUGACUGUUGCCAUGUUAAAGUGAAAUGUGGGUUGAUUCCUGGAUUAUCAGCUGCUAUAAAGUGUUAAAUUCAGAUUAAACUGUUUAAGGCAGAAGAGGAGAUGGUGCCAUUAUACCAGAUCCUUUUGGUAGUUCGUUCUUUUUUUUCUGCGUUUUUGCUCACUUAAGUCUUUUUCCAUCGUGUUUGAGAAUUAACUAUGAAGAAAUCUGAUGAACUAAUAACCUGUUGGGGUAAGUGGACUAGAGCAACAGGUGUCUUGUUUCCUGCUAAAGCCGAGUGCCCUUUAUCACACAUGGAAACAUGUCACCAUUUGGAGCAAGAAAGAGUGCCGGGCCUCCUGCAGACCGAUGUGAUCCACAGAGGAAUGAGUUCACACUCUGCCAGAUGGAGUGUAAACCUUCAGAGCAGAAAGCAAAUCCACAUCUAUACUGUACCACUUAACUCCUCGUGUAUUGUACAGUAAAUUAAAAAACAUGUCUAUGAGCAAAUGAUGCAGUUUAACGAGAGAAAUCUGCAACGAUUCUGCGUUUGUGUGAUUUUUAAAAAGGAUUACUAAGCCGACAAAUAGAGAGAAACGUUUGUACGACAUUUCACUUCAUAAAGACGUCUUUUAUGCACCGGAUGUUUGAGGUCAGAACAAUUCAUCCGUGCAAGGAAGUAACGAACGUGCCUUACAAACAGAGCGAGCAUCCUCUGCAGCAAUUUCAGCGAGUGUGUUUUCAUGUAGGCGCACACGUUUUUUUGUUUUUUUUUUGUAUGUGUGUUUUUUCUGGAGUCAUGAGUGACUGUCCAUCCUGUGACCGGUGCGUGUGACUCACUCCUUUUCCAAAAGUUUCCAUCUUGGCGCCUCAAAGGCAAAAACCAUCAGAGCGCUGUCACCAUCUGGACAGUAAGAGCCCUCCUGGGCUGCCCGCCUUGUGUCCCUGACUCAAAGGCUUUAACUAAAAAUACAACCUUCAGGAUGUUAUUGCAAACGCACAAAUUCAUGACUGGCUGGGAUUUCUCAGCUCCCAGCGUUUGAUGUUUCUGUUUCCUCUCCAUAAAUAACAAAGGUAAAAUUGCUCACACACGCAUCAUACAGUAGUAAUAAUGUUGUCACGCUGGCUAAUAGGCAUGCAAUGGCUUUGAUUAAAGGCACUUCCUGGAGGGUUAAGGCAAUUUUGGAGGUUUCAGAGGCCGAGUUUUCAAUCUGCUCUAUUAUGAAAGGAAACCCACACAGAAUUACAAUCAACUUUUCACUUGACUUGGCCUGAAUAUUUCUGUUAUUUUGGCUUUUUUCUAACGUUUUUACAUCCUGCAACUUUGCCCUGGAAACCGCUGCACACCGCCUGCCCAGCAUCAAACAGCCGACUUAAGAGUGCAAGAAGCAAGCGAGGGAAGAAAGUCUCACAGCAGCAGAUGAAAAGGGGUGAUUUCUCAAGAGGUAGGAGGACAAAAAAGGCCUCCAAGAAAUACAAAGUUUGCACCUACACCUGUCAGCUAGCCAGAAACAUGACUUCAAAUGAGUGAAAGUGUUUAUUAUUCAAGGAGUUUUGGUCAAGCUGGUGGAGGUAGAAGACGUCUGUGAAUCCAAAAG